AUUGAACGCUGGCGGCAGGCCUAACACAUGCAAGUCGAGCGGCAGCGGGAAAGUAGCUUGCUACUUUUGCCGGCGAGCGGCGGACGGGUGAGUAAUGCCUGGGAAAUUGCCCAGUCGAGGGGGAUAACAGUUGGAAACGACUGCUAAUACCGCAUACGCCCUGAGGGGGAAAGUGGGGGACCGCAAGGCCUCACGUUAUACGAGCGGCCGAUGUCGGAUUAGCUAGUUGGUGGGGUAAAGGCCUACCAAGGCGACGAUCCGUAGCGGGUCUGAGAGGAUGAUCCGCCACACUGGGACUGAGACACGGCCCAGACUCCUACGGGAGGCAGCAGUGGGGAAUUUUGGACAAUGGGCGCAAGCCUGAUCCAGCCAUGCCGCGUGAGUGAAGAAGGCC
rnacentral:rRNA from 1 species